CCUACGGGAGGCAGCAGUGGGGAAUAUUGCACAAUGGGCGAAACCCUGAUGCAGCGACGCCGCGUGAGUGAAGAAGUAAUUCGUUAUGUAAAGCUCUAUCAGCAGGGAAGAAAAUGCCGGUACCUGAGUAAGACUCCCCGGCUAACUACGUGCCAGCAGCGGCGGUAAUACGUAGGGGGCAGGCGUUAUCCGGAUUUACUGGGUGUAAAGGGAGCGUAGGCGGCAGUGCAAGUCUGGAGUGAAAGGCGGGGGGUCAACCCCCGGACUGCAGUGGAAACUGUACGGCUGGAGUGCAGGAGAGGUAAGCGGAAUUCCUGGUGUAGCGGUGAAAUGCGUAGAUAUCAGGAGGAACCCCAGUGGCGAAGGCAGCUUACUGGACUGUAACUGACGUUGAGGCUCGAAAGCGUGGGGAGCAAACAGGAUUAGAUACCCUAGUAGUC
rnacentral:rRNA from 1 species